rnacentral:tRNA from 4 species
GCGCCCGUAGCUCAGCUGGAUAGAGCGACGGCCUCCGGAGCCGUAGGUCGCAGGUUCGAAUCCUGCCGGGCGCG